rnacentral:misc_RNA from 1 species
AAUAUUCUCACUAGGAGACGGGGAAGUAUCCGGUGCAAUCACCCAAUUCGGUGCAACUAUGCAUCUCUCGUCCUACACCGUUGGAUUGAGAAAUGGGCGUCCGAGAUUCGUCCACGUCACCAUAAGUUAAAAUUUAACUCUCAGUAAAUUUUAACUCAUGAGUGAAUUUGCGAGUUAUAUUUUAACUCAUGGUGACGUGGACGAAUCUCGGACGUCCAUUUCUUGAUCCAACGGUGUAGGAUGAGAGUUGCAUAUUUGCACCGAAUUGGGUGAUUGCACCGGAUACUUCCCACUAGGAGACAUCACCUCG